ensembl:rRNA 5S_rRNA 5S ribosomal RNA
AUCAGCAGCCAUAUCACCCUGCAACUCACGACUGGCAACCCAUUGAAGCUAAGCAGGUGUGAGCCUGGUCAGUACCUGGAUGGGAGACCUCCUGGGAAAAACUUAGGUUGCUGCUGGAA